rnacentral:rRNA from 1 species
UGGAGUAACACGUAUCCAACCUGCCGUCUACUCUUGGACAGCCUUCUGAAAGGAAGAUUAAUACAAGAUGGCAUCAUGAGUCCGCAUGUUCACAUGAUUAAAGGUAUUCCGGUAGACGAUGGGGAUGCGUUCCAUUAGAUAGUAGGCGGGGUAACGGCCCACCUAGUCUUCGAUGGAUAGGGGUUCUGAGAGGAAGGUCCCCCACAUUGGAACUGAGACACGGUCCAA